rnacentral:rRNA from 1 species
GGGUUCGAUUCCGGAGAGGGAGCCUGAGAAACGGCUACCACAUCCAAGGAAGGCAGCAGGCGCGCAAAUUACCCAAUCCCAAUACGGGGAGGUAGUGACAAUAAAUAACAAUAUGGGGCUCUUACGGGUCUCGUAAUUGGAAUGAGUACAAUUUAAAUCUCUUAACGAGGAACAAUUGGAGGGCAAGUCUGGUGCCAGCAGCCGCGGUAAUUCCAGCUCCAAUAGCGUAUAUUAAAGUUGUUGCAGUUAAAAAGCUCGUAGUUGAAUUUCGGAGUUUGUCGGUUGGUCGGGCUUCACUGUCCGCACUGGCCUGAUGGAUUCCUACCUUCUGAAUAACCAGCAUGCUAUUAAGUUAGUGCGUUGGGGAAGCAGAGCUAUUACCUUGAAAAAAUUAGAGUGCUUAAAGCAGGCUUUUGCUUGAAUAGAUUAGCAUGGAAUAAUAAAAUAGGACGGCAUGGUUCUAUUUUGUUGGUUUCUAGGAUCACCGUAAUGAUUAAUAGGGAUAGUUGGGGGCAUUAGUAUUCAAUUGUCAGAGGUGAAAUUCUUGGAUUUAUUGAAGACUAACUUCUGCGAAAG